AAAAAGCUUCAAACUGGGAUUAGAUACCCCACUAUGCCUAGCCCUAAACAUUGAUAGUAAAAUACCCCUACUAUCCGCCUGGGAACUACGAGCAUUAGCUUGAAACCCAAAGGACUUGGCGGUGCUUUAGACCCACCUAGAGGAGCCUGUUCUAGAACCGAUUAUCCCCGUUCAACCUCACCUUUCCUUGUUUCCCCCGCCUAUAUACCACCGUCGUCAGCUUACCCUGUGAAGGGCCUAUAGUAAGCAAGAUUGGCACAGCCAAAACGUCAGGUCGAGGUGUAGCGUAUGGAAAGGGAAGAAAUGGGCUACAUUCCCUAGCAUUAAGGAACUACGAAUGAUUACACUGAAACACGUAUCUGAAGGAGGAUUUAGCAGUAAGCAGGAAAUAGAGCGUUCUGCUGAAACCGGCCCUGAAGCGCGCACACACCGCCCGUCACCCUCUGCAGUCA
rnacentral:rRNA from 2 species